GGGGUUGUAGCUCAGUGGUAGAGCACAUGCCUAGCAUGUGUGAAGCUCUGGGUUUGAUCUUCAACACCA
rnacentral:tRNA from 1 species